UACGUAGGGUCCGAGCGUUGUCCGGAGUUACUGGGCGUAAAGGGCGCGCAGGUGGCGGUGCUGGCCCGGCGUGAAAGCCCCCGGCUCAACCGGGGAGGGUCGUCGGGGACCGCACCGCUUGAGGGCGGUAGGGGCUGGUGGAAUGCCUGGUGUAGUGGUGAAAUGCGUAGAGAUCAGGCGGAACACCCGUGGCGAAGGCGGCAUCCUGGACCGGUAUUGACGCUGAGGAGCGAAAGCCAGGGGAGCAAACGGG
rnacentral:rRNA from 1 species